rnacentral:rRNA from 1 species
UACGUAGGGGGCAAGCGUUGUCCGGAUUUAUUGGGCGUAAAGAGCGUGUAGGCGGCUAGAUAGGUCCGUUGUGAAAACUCGAGGCUCAACUUCGAGCUGUCGGUGGAAACUGUCUGGCUAGAGUCCGGAAGAGGAGAAUGGAAUUCCUGGUGUAGCGGUGAAAUGCGCAGAUAUCAGGAAGAACACCCGUGGCGAAGGCGGUUCUCUGGGACGGUACUGACGCUGAGACGCGAAAGCGUGGGGAGCGAACAGG